GGGGGCGAAAUAGGAUCGACGAGGGCGUAAAGGUUGGACUUUCGCUCGGCAUGGUUCCGCCGUUAUCGGGCCAAUGCAAUAGUUGCCAACGACAACUAUGCUCCGGUGGCGGUCGCCGCGUAAGCGGUGCCCAAGACCAAACAAAGUCCUAGCGGUUAGCAUCGCAUAGGCGGGGUUCGGAGGCACCUGGCAACAGAAGCCUCCACU
rnacentral:tmRNA from 2 species